UAUAUAUAUAGGAUUUGAUAGAGCAAUGAAACAACAUAGUUGGUCACAUGUUGGAUUUAUUUUCUUCUCAAUUCUAUUCAUUGGAAUUGCUAGGGUUACAAAUGUGUUUGGCUGUGCUAAUCAGGUGAAUCUGGCAAGACCUGCAAAUCGAAAAAUACCACCAAAACAUCAUAAAGAACUCUGGUA